rnacentral:rRNA from 1 species
AACGAACGCUGGCGGCGAUGGAUUAGGCAUGCAAGUCGAACGAAGCAGCAAUGCUUAGUGGCGGAAGGGUGAGGAACGCGUGAGUAAUCUGCCUCAAGUUGGGAAUAACAGCUGGAAACGGCUGCUAAUACCGAAUGUGGCUGCAAGACCGCAUGAUUUUUGUCAGUUUAAAGAUUUAUUUGCUUGAGGAUGAGCUCGCGUCCCAUUAGCUAGUUGGUGAGGCAACGGCUCACCAAGGCGAUGAUGGGUAGCUGGUCUGAGAGGAUGGUCAGCCACACUGGGACUGAGACACUGCCCAGACUCCUACGGGAGGCUGCAGUCGAGAAUCUUGGGCAAUGCGCGAAAGCGUGACCCAGCAAUGCCGCGUGCGCGAUGAAGGUCUUCGGAUUGUAAAGCGCUGUCAACCGGGACGAAAAUGACGGUACCGGUGGAGGAAGCCACGGCUAACUACGUGCC